GACGAACGCUGGCGGCGUGGAUUAGGCAUGCAAGUCGAACGGUAUCAUCCUUUCGGGGGUGAGAGAGUGGCGAACUGGUGAGUAACACGUAGGUUAUCUACCCUCAAGACGGGGACAACCCAGGGAAACUUGGGCUAAUACCGGAUGUGAGCAACUUUUAGUUGUUUGAAAGGUGGCGUAAGCUGUCGCUUGGGGAUGAGCCUGCGUCCUAUUAGUUAGUUGGUGAGGUAACGGCUCACCUAGGCAAUGAUAGGUAGGCGGCCUUAACGGGUGGUCGCCCACACUGGGAUUGAGAUACGGCCCAGACUCCUACGGGAGGCAGCAGUCGAGAAUAGUCUACAAUGGUCGGAAGACUGAUAGUGCGACGCCGCGCGAACGAUGAAUCCCUUCGGGGUGUAAAGUUCUUUUAUAUGUGAGCAGUGCUUCUUAUAUUAACAGUAUGGGGAGAGAGAUAUUAGCAUAUGAAUAAGCAACGGCUAACUCCGUGCCAGCAGCCGCGGUAAGCU
rnacentral:rRNA from 1 species